rnacentral:rRNA from 1 species
GGAAGUAAAAGUCGUAACAAGGUCUCCGUAGGUGAACCUGCGGAGGGAUCAUUACAAGUGACCCCGGUUUACCACCGGGAUGUUCAUAACCCUUUGUUGUCCGACUCUGUUGCCUCCGGGGCGACCCUGCCUUCGGGCGGGGGCUCCGGGUGGACACUUCAAACUCUUGCGUAACUUUGCAGUCUGAGUAAACUUAAUUAAUAAAUUAAAACUUUCAACAACGGAUCUCUUGGUUCUGGCAUCGAUGAAGAACGCAGCGAAAUGCGAUAAGUAAUGUGAAUUGCAGAAUUCAGUGAAUCAUCGAAUCUUUGAACGCACAUUGCGCCCGGGGGGCAUGCCUGUUCGAGCGUCAUUUCACCACUCAAGCCUCGCUUGGUAUUGGGCAACGCGGUCCGCCGCGUGCCUCAAACGACCGGCUGGGUCUUCUGUCCCCUAAGCGUUGUGGAAACUAUUCGCUAAAGGGUGCUCGGGAGGCUACGCCGUAAAACAACCCCAUUUCUAAGGUUGACCUCGGAUCAGGUAGGGAUACCCGCUGAACUUAAGCAUAUCAAUAAGCGGAGGA